AGUGCAUGAAGCUGGAAUCGCUAGUAAUCGCGAAUCAGAAUGUCGCGGUGAAUACGUUCCCGGGUCUUGUACACACCGCCCGUCACACCAUGGGAGUCGGGAAUGCCCGAAGCCGGUGACCCAACCUUAGGGAGGGAGCCGUCGAAGGCAGGCCUGGUAACUGGGGUGAAGUCGUAACAAGGUACC
rnacentral:rRNA from 1 species